rnacentral:rRNA from 1 species
UGGGGAAUUUUGCGCAAUGGGCGAAAGCCUGACGCAGCGACGCCGCGUGUACGAUGAAGGCCUUUGGGUCGUAAACUGCUUUUGCGUGGGACGAUAACGACGGUACCACGCGAAUCAGCCCCGCCUAACUCUGUGCCAGCAGCCGCGGUAAUACAGAGGGGGCAAGCGUUGUCCGGACUUACUGGGCGUAAAGCGCACGCAGGUGGUAACGCAAGUGGGGUGUGAAAGCCGCCAGCUUAACUGGCGGAGGCCAUCCCAAACUGCGUCACUUGAGGCCUGUAGAGGUAUGUGGAAUUGCCGGUGUAGUGGUGAAAUGCGUAGAGAUCGGCAGGAACACCCAGGGGGAAACCAGCAUACUGGACAGGUCCUGACACUCAGGUGCGACAGCGUGGGGAGCGAACCGGAUUAGAUACCCCCGUAGUCC